rnacentral:rRNA from 1 species
AGCAGCCGCGGUAAUUCCAGCUCCAAUAGCGUAUAUUAAAGUUGUUGCAGUUAAAAAGCUCGUAGUUGAACUUCGGGAUUUGUCCAUUGGUCAGGCUUAACUGUCUGUACUGGUGUGACGAAUUCCUACCUUCUGAGGAAUCUUCAUGUCAUUCAGUUGGUGUGAGGGGGAAUCAGGACUGUUACUUUAGAAAAAAUUAGAGUGUAUAG